rnacentral:lncRNA from 1 species
UGGAUAGCUUAAGGUGGAGAAACAAGUGAACAUCCAUGGAUACCAGCUAAGGGAAUGUAAUGGAAGAUAAUCCAUGGAUACCAGCUAAGGGAAUGUAAUGGAAGAUAAAUUCUACACAGUUUGCCAUGGAUUUUGAGUCAUGUCCUAAGCCACGUAUACUCUAUGUGCCCCCUGGCUUUCUGUUGGGCCUUGUAUAUUUGGUUCCUGGGAAGUACCGAGUUAGAAGAAUACUGUGCUAAGUGCUUACCUAGCAUAUAUUACCAGCCAUCCUCGUUAAGUGAAGUGCCAUUUGGAACACUAUUUUGAGCCAUAAUACACUUUUACCUAUGACAAUGACUUGUUUCUCCUAGUCACAACUCUCCAAUCUUUAGCAUGAACUAACCUUAUUAGACACUCAACUUUAACUGUACUUCCAAGUUUUUGAAGUUGAUUCGAGAAGUUCACUCUCUCCAAUCCAGCAUGUAGGUUUCUUUUAGAGUUGGGCACAGGAUUAAUGGUGUAGGUAGCAAUGUUACCAUUUAUUUGUUUCUACAAUAAAUACAAGUGCUAGAGUUUCUUUUGGCAGCACAAUCAAUACUAGAGUUAUUACUAAUACUUGAUGAAACUAAUGAGGCGCUAAAUAAGCACACCAUGAGCAGAAAUGUGAUGUACUACAGUACCAGGCCUUAUUUGUGAGUUGAAAAGGCUAAACCACAAUUUUCCGUAUUUGUCAUUCAUUGCUGCUAAAUCUCGUUAGACGAAAUUAUCAGUUCCUCUAUAUCAGCAAUCCCAGCCUUCAAGUUCUAAACCUUAUCUAGUCUAGAUUAAAUAAAUAUCACAUGUCACAAAGUAAAGCGAAGCAAUUGGUCUUUCCUUGUGCUUUCUAUUGGAACAGUCUCUUUCUAUCUGUGUUCCCGUAUUAUUCAGUUGCCACAUUUCGGUUCUUUAAUUGUCAACAAGUCCAAGUUUUUGCAGCCACUUUGAUGCAUUUGGAUUUAGCAAUUUCAGUUAUUACGUACACGAGUCUUUCUUGAUUAUAUUGCUUUCAAUAUGGUUAUCAUAUCUACUCACAGUCAUCUCCCUUUUGCUGAAUAGAAUUGAGAAGCUGAAGCGUGGUUUUGGUAUGCACGUCCCUGAAGAGUUUAGGUAGCUGGAUAUAAUGCGGGGUUCCUUCAUUUCUAAUAAUCAGUUUAAUCACCUCCCUCGGAGCUACCUAUUGGAGGGCAAGUUUGUGAUUUCUACUAAACUUGACAUGGACGCUUUUUAAGUAGUACUUGGAGUGUUGGUGAGCAGCAGAUGUAGCACUCAAGCUGUGAUCACAUGAUCUUGUGGUUGUACUAUUGAUGACCUUGGUCCUACUAAUUUAGUUUAUUUGCUGAAAGCUAUGUUUGGAAAUGAUGCAAUCUGCGAGGCAACACUAAUUUCUGUGCAGCCUGUACUUAUGAGUGUUAUUGUCUUGAUGUAUUUUUCUCACCACGGGAAGCCUUAGGUAUACGUACAAUUAUCGCCUUGUAAUAUGUUCGUAGUGCUAUACUUCUCUAAUAUAUUUAUAUAUGUAAAUAUAUAUGUUACUCUUGUAUCAUCUCUUCCUAGUAUCAUAUGGUGCUUUGCUUCCGUGAGCUUGUGUAUUAGAAGUUGUUAAAUAUUGUGUAUUAGAAGUUGUUAAAUAUUCAUUCGUGGCGGCCAUGUCUGCACCCAAGCUCAAAUGAGCUAUGUUGAACCGUAAAAUCAGAAAUAUAUAUAAAAAGAUCUAGUUUCAUUAUGGUAAACUAUGACAAAUGUUCUAAGAGUUUGCAAUAUUUCAUCACAAAAUCACAUUUGGAGUUGUAGCGAAAAAACAAAAUUGAUACUCUAAAAAUGCUAUUAUCGAAAGCAUUUUAAAGCACUAAUUUUGUUUUUUCGUCAUCACUUUAAUAAAUGUGUUUUAGUGAUGAAAUUUUGAAACCUUUUAGAACAUUUAUCAUAAACAAGUUCAGCUUUUUUGAAAUAUUUUAAAUAUUUUCGGAGUUGUUAAUCUCGGCUUAUUUGAGCUGUGGUGUAGAAAGGCAUUUUUGACACGCUUGUUAUCUAUAUGACCAAAUCCUAACUGAGCUUGCUCGUAGUUGCACAAAUUUGACAUUGCUUGUGGCACUCUGUGUUCAUAUCUUCGCUCUGUUGUUCGUCAUGGAAAAAAAAUUAGGGCAAGCGUGUGAAGGCUAUGAAAAGCCACUUUGGAUUUGCAGGAAGUUUUGCGGUGGAUAAUGAAGGCUUAAGUGGUGGCAUUGGUCUUUUCUGGUCCAAAGAUGUUGAUGUGGAACUAUUUUUUUAGUACCGACCACAUUGAUGUUGUGGUGUGGAACAAGGAUCAUCUUUCUCGUGAAUGGUGUUUUACGAGUUUCUAUGGAGCUUCGAAAGUCAAUGCUAAUCUCCGUUAGAGCGGUGUGGAGGCACAAUGCUCCCCAAGAUGCCACUAAGGCCACCGUAAUAUCCUCACGCCCUCGCAGAAUGCAAGAUGCCGUGAUUCCACUAAGGGACCCUUGAGGGCGGUCACCGAACCCGUACAAAUGGCAAACCUUGGGGGCGGUCACCGAACCCGUACACGUGGCAACCCUUGGGGGCGGUUACCGGUACCCGUACAAAUUGCUCGGGGCUAUCUCCACAACCUAAUUGGAGGCCCCGACGCUUGCCUGGAGCUUCACACCACAAUGAUUGAGCUCCGAGACACCACCAAGCUUCUAGUAUGCCAAAGCAUCCACGAAGAACAAUAUCUAGGGUACUAAGUACCAAAGGUAGUAAGCUUCUCAACUUCUCACUUCCACGUAUCACCGUGGAGAACUCAAACUGAUGCAACUAACGCAAUGGCAAGAACACACAAAGUGGUCAAGUCCCUCACACUCAAAUCCCUCCACAACAACAAAAGCUAUGGAGAAAUAUGAGAGGAAGAACAAGGAGCUCACAAAGAACUCCAAGAUCUAGAUCCAAGGGGUUCCCCUCACAUAGAGGAGAAAGUGAUUGGUGGAGAUGUGGAUCUAGAUCUCCUCUCUCUUUUCCCUCAAGAACAAGCAAGAAUCAUUGGAGGGAUUGAGAGUUAGCAAGCUCUAAGAAUGUCAACAAUGGAGGUAGAACAAGAGCUCAACGGAUAGAUGAGGCCAAGGGGGAAGAAGACCCCCUUUAUAUAGUGGGGGAAGGAAUCAGACCGUUACCCCCACUAUCUGCCCGAGCUCCAGCGGUACUACCGCCAACUAGCGGUACUACCGCUGGCCCGAGCGGUACUACCGCUGGGCCCCUGGUAGUGCAAAGGCACUACCACCGCCAAGAAAGUCUUCGCAAAAAGGUCCGUCCACGAACAACCGCUAGGCAAGCGGCACUAACCUCCUGGAGCGGUACUACCGCUGACCAGUGGCGAUACUACCGCCAGCCAGCGGUACUACCGCUAGGGCCAGUGGUACUACCGCCAACUCUAGCGGUACUACCGCUAGGUCCAGCGGUACUACCGCUCGCCACUGAAACAGCCAUAACUUUCGCAUACGAGCUCCGAAUCGAGCAAACCAAGGCUUGUUGGAUUCAGGACGACAAGAGCUAUCCAAACAGCCUUUCUCAUGGCAAACAUCCUUUAGGAAGUGUACAUAGAUUUAACACUGAACCCCUUUUUUCCCUAGCAUCCACACCUUCAUCAGUCAAUGUGGUGGAGUGGCAAACAUCCAGUAGGCCUUGCCAUUGCACAGCCAAUUCCCCCCGCAAGCAUCUAUGAGAUUGGAGACAUGUCCCUUGAGAGUGAACAACUUAUAAACAAUUGACAGUUUUGCCAAAUGUAAGGUUAUAUAGACUUUUAAAUCUGGAAAUAAUAGAUGGCAUCCAUGUGAUUGGCAAUUAAAACCAUGUUUGCUUAGUUUUGAGUCCGUCUGUUCUCGGUGGUGCGAGCUCAUGCUGCAUUUUGAGAUUGUGUACAUAAGAUGGUAAGACUGUUUGUAGGAGGAACUGGCUAGAGCCAUGGAUAUCUUAAGGUGGAGAAACAAGUAAACAUCCAUGGAUACCAGCUAAGGGAAUGUAAUGGAAGAUAAUCCAUGGAUACCAGCUAAGGGAAUGUAAUGGAAGAUAAAUUCUACAUAGUUUGCCAUGGAUUUUCAGUCAUGUCCUAAGCCACAUAUACUCUAUGUGCCCCCUGGCUUUCUGUUGGGCCUUGUAUAUUUGGUUUCUGGGAAGUACCGAGUUAGAAGAAAACUGUGCUAAGUGCUUACCUAGCAUAUAUUACCAGCCAUCCUCGUUAAGUGAAGUGCCAUUUGGA